CCCGCCACUGAACGGGAAAAGGUAAGUACCGUUGUCACCAGUGUCACCUGCACUAUCUGUCAGUACUGCCACUUUUGUGUAGGUGACACUGGUGACAUAUUUCCAUUAAAAACAAUAAAAGAAAAAGAAGGUUAAUAAAAUAAUUAAAAAAGAAAAAAAACGUCUACAAAAAUAUCCCUAAAAAAACAUAUUUUAUAUGAAAUAUAAAAUUAAGAAAAUAGAAAAAAUAUAUAAAAAUUGCCCCAAAAACUAUGUAACCCCAUACAAAUCCCUCACAAUGCCAUAACCAUGCACUGCCUGUCAGAAUAAUGCUAAGAGGAAUAAUACACUGCACCACAAUAGUAGUGCAGUGUUUUAUAGAAAUAAUCAGAUCUUUGGUGAAAGGUUGCCCUCUAAUGGGAAUAUGGGUGAAAAAAACAACCCAUAAAAUAAAAGUGUACUAACAUGAUUUAUUGACACCCUCCCUCCCCCACCAACAAAAAAAGAAAAAGAAAACAGUAGAAAGGCAGAAAUGCUUUUGAAAAAAGAAAUACACAAUAAUAAUUUAUAACAUUUUCUGCCCCCUCCCCCAAAGAAAACAUAUAUUACCCUUAAAAUGUAUGAAUAAAUAAAUGAAAAUGAAGACAUAACCCAAACAUUACAAAAACAAACCCUCCAAAAACCUGUCAAUAGUCUGCGUCAACAUCAUCCUGGGAUGAUGGGAGGAGUAGUACACUGCACUACUAUAGAAAUAAAAAUCCCUAUAAUCUAAAUCCCAAUGUGUUCCAUUUUUUUUUGUUCCUUUUUCUUAUGCGGUUUCAUAAUCCCUGAGAUAAGUAGUUCUGGCCCUAGAGUGUUAUAUAUAUUAGCGUCUGUAGCAUGUAUCAGGAACAUGUUAUCAUACCUGUGUCUUUUUACAGGUGACUGAUGUCCGGUGAGAAGGUGAAAGUGACCUAUACCCCCGUCAACUGCAAGAAAGGAACCACAGGACAGGUGACUGAUGUCCGGUGAGAAGGUGAAAGAGACCUAUACCCCCGUCAACUGCAAGAAAGGAACCACAGGACAGGUGACUGAUGUUCGGUGAGAAGGUGAAAGUGACCUAUACCCCCGUCAACUGCAAGAAAGGAACCACAGGACAGGUAAUUAAUAUUUAUAUUAAUUACUGAUAACAAUCAGGCUAGAUGUAAUAUCUAGACCUGCAGAGAUGUCAUAGUCUCCACCUUAUACAUGAACAUAUAUGUGUUGUUAAUAAGCAUAUCGUCUAUGGACAGCUUCUUAUAUAACACAACCAUGUCUCAGGUACAGAGAAUAGGAACAUUUAUGAUCCUUAAUAUCUGUUUUUUAUUUGUAGGAAUUCCUUUAUCAAUAUUUAAUAGAAUAGACCCAACUUACCCCAAGGUUUACAAGUUUCCUUUGGACAAACUGACUGCAGAUUUAGAACAUAACUGUAAUGUAAAGAAAAAUCUAUAAUUUGUUUUUGCUACAAAUAUAUAAUUAUAAAAAUAAUGAGAAUUAAAAAACUAUAUAUUAAAAGACUAGAGCCAUAAUAAUACAUAGCCUGUUGAAAUAAUCAUGAAGCGCAUAAUACACUGCACUUUAAUACUAGUGCAGUGUAUUAUAUGAGCGAUCUUAAGAUCGCUGUUAAAAGUCCCCUUUGUAAAAAAAAACGUUAAGGCUAGCUAGGAAUUUUCAUCCGGAAUAACUAUUGCCGGAGGUUCCAAGCGUACAUUACCGUCAUCAUAGAUGGCAAUGUAUUCUGCCCGUAUCCUAUGUAAAUGAAGUUAAAAAUAAACAAUUUAUAAAAUAAUUCACCCCACCCAAACCCCUACAAAAAAAUAAAUGUUUAUAUAAAAAAGAAUAAAAAAAAAUAACCCAUUUCUCCCCUCACAUAAGCUAUAAUUAAAAAUCGUCUGUCAACAUAAUGCUGACAGCGAUAAUACACUGCACUAUAACACUAUUGCAAUGUAUUAUAUGGGUGAUCACAAGAUCACUGGGGAAAGGCCUCUCAUCGAAUUUGUUAAAAAAAAGACCAAAAAAUAAAAAAUAAAGAAAAAAAAGUAAAAAAAAA